rnacentral:lncRNA from 1 species
AUGUAUAUGUACGUGUCUAAGUUCCCCCUGCCCCAAACAAGCACUCCACCCUGGGCUGGGGCUAUGGCUGGUGUUCUCAGAUCAGCACAAGCCAGCUCUGGAGGGCAGCCUGCUCUGUGGGGGCCCCAGGCUGUUUCCCACUGUACAGCACAGGGCAGGGAGUUGCGAAAGGGGCUUGUCUCGGGUGGGAUGGCCUUAGCGAGCCCCCCUCCCUGGGCUGGUGUGCUAUCCCCCCUUCCUGAGAGCCUGGCCCUCGGGGUGAAUGAGUGCCACCUGCCUGGGAGCUCUGCUCUCCUGCUCUGGAGCAGCACAGAGCUGAGGACUGACUGACUUGGAAUACAAAGCCGGGCUUCUUAUGGUACAUGUUUGCCCUGAACCAAAGGGUUUCCUGGCAUGAAGGAUUUUCACCGCUAAAACAAAACAGUCCCAGGCAACAGAAUAGUUGGGUACCCUAUCUUGACCUCAGUUCAGUUCAGUUCAGUCACUCAGUUGUGUCCGACUCUUUGUGACCCCAUGAACUGCAGCACGCCAGGCCUCCCUGUCCAUCACCAACUCCCGGAGUUCACUCAAACUCACAUCCAUCGAGUCGGUGAUGCCAUCCAGCCAUCUCAUCCUCUGUCGUCCCCUUCUCCUGCCCCCAAUCCCUCCCAGCAUCAGAGUCUUUUCCAAUGAGUCAACUCUUCGCAUGAGGUGGCCAAAACACCCAGGGCUGGUCUCCUUUAGAAUGGAAUGGUUGGAUCACCUUGCAGUCCGAGGGACUCUCAAGAGUCUUCUCCAACACCACGCUUGACCUCAGUCAGAGCUAAUUUUGCCCAGCAUGUGCUCCAGGCCUCCCCGUGGGAUCAGGCCUGGCCUAGACUCCACUGGAGACUUCAUCCUUCCUUGCUGAGCUCCUUCCCAGCCAGCCCUGCUUCCCUCACUUCUGGGAACGUUCCCUCAAUCAGUCAACUAUGGGCACCAAAUCCUCGUCUCAGGCUCUGCUUCUAGGGAGCCCCGCCUAGACAUCCAUCUUCCACACUCACGGCCACUGUGAACAAACGACAAAUGAGGAGGGUGUUCAGCACUGCUGAUGGUUUUGGGGCUAAGGAAGGUUCAUGACAGUCAUAAUAAUAAUAGGUAUUAUUGUUAUUGUCAGGGGGUCUUGGCUUUACUGUGAGGUCGCCUAACUCUAAGUGUCAGAGUGCCCCCUAAGCGUCAAGACUGUUCUUUGCCACUUGUCAAAGAAUUUGUGCCCUAGUCAUGCAGAAUGCAGAGAGCCUGAGGCUAGGAACAAUUUCUUUUCUAUACUUUUAUGUUGGGCUUCCCUGGUGGCUCAGACAGUAAAGAAUCUACCUGCAAUGCGGAAGAACUGGGUUCAAUCCCUGGAUUGGGAAGAUUCCCUGGAGGAGGAAAUGUCAACCCAUGAAAAGAGUGAGAUACUUUUAUGAAAGAAAUGAGUGAGCUACUUUUAUGUCAGGUACUUCCUGUGUGGGUUCCCAGGUGGUUCAGUGGUAAAGAAUUCGCGGGCCAAUGCAGGAGCUGCAGGAGACCCAGGUUCAAUCCUUGGGUCAGGAAGAUCCCCUGGAGGAGGAAAUGGCAACCCACUCCAGUUUUCUUGCCUGGAGAAUCCCAUGGACAGAGUAUCCUGGUGGGCUACAGUCCUUGGGGGUCACAAAGAGUCAGAUAUGACUGAGCGACUGAGUGCUUUCUGUGUAGUCAGCGUCACUCUGACUUUGUGAGGCAAAGAGAAAUGAGUGAGAUACAGGCUCUGCCCUCCUCCAUAGCUGUGUUGAUAAGAUAGUUUCACAGGCAAUGUCUUGGGAGGGCAUACGGGGUAGCGCUGGGGCUUGCUGAGCGUGUGAGGGGGCAGGAAUGCAGAAGAGGGAUUGCACAGAGUUCGCGGGGGGUGAGUGCCAGCUGGCUUCCCAGGGGAAGGGCUGCAGUUGGAUUCUGAAUGGGCAAAGUCACGACAAGGGGAAGGAGACAGCAGAGGUGUCCUGGGAGGCCAUGGUCUGAGGCAGGGAGCCCUGGGGUGUCUUUGGAAGUCUGGCAGGGAAGUUUUUCUGGUGGGAAGGCUUGCAAAAGGAGGGAGGAGUUGGGCUCUGGGGAGCUCCCUCAAUGCUGAGGAGUUAGUGCCCUGUUCAGCGGGCAGAUGGAUGGUUCCCAGCAAACCAGGAUUUCUGAGGAGAAGACAGAUGGGGCCAAACCUCCUCUGAUGACUGAGAACACCUCCUCUCCCUGAGGGGUAUGAGAUCCUGAUCACAGCGGCCUACACGGGCCUGUCGCUUCCUUCCCCUCCUCUAGGGCAACCACAGACGAGAUGUGAGAACCCCUGCAGAGAAUCAGGAGCUGGAGUUGCUCUCCCCUCCCUCAGAUAAGCCCCUCGUCUCCCCCUCCUCAGCCCACGUUAGCCCUUACCCCGGUCCCCCGCCUCCCCCACCCUUCCAAACAGGCAGACGACUCUUCCCGAAACAUGGUUUCUUGCAUGCCAUUCUCCACCUGGAGGACAUUAGUGUCUACCCACUGCCCACAGGGUAAGAGCUGCAUGCCUCAGAUUAGCUUUCAAAUCCCUCUACAACGCCAAACGCUCCCUUCGCCCUUCCUGCCUCCAGUGAAGCUCCCUUCCCAAAAGCCCCAGAGCUGGUCAGGUGGGCACUUCCCCAGCUACGUCAUGGGACCUUGCUUUGUGUCUUUGUUCAAACCUUGCUCCUUUUCUGGGCCUGUCGAAUUCUACCUGUUCUCCUCAGAGCCUCCAAAAUGUCUCCUCUUGUGAUGGACAGCCACACUGGCAUUGCGCUCUCUACAUUUCUCAAGCCUUCAUGUGGUAGGUUGUCCACAGAAGGAUGCCAACCAGUGUUCCAUUUCUGCAUUCGUGUGCUGCCGCUCCCAUCAGAAAUGGUGGCCUGGGAGUUUGGGGGUUUUGAACAUUAGCUGCCCUGGACUCCUUGUCUGGUGCCUUACCGUAAACGUCGUGCUUUCCUUCGCCCCAACCCAGCGUCAGUAGAUUGCCUUUACUGCCUGUCGGUAAGUUGACUCAAGUUUGAUUUGGUAAUAAUUUGGUAAUUUCCACCUAUAUCUCACUGGCCAGAACUGAGUCAUGUGCCCUUUGCUAGCUGUGAGUGAUGCUGAGAAAGCCAUUAAGAAACAAAAAGAAAAACCUGUUUGCCCUCCAUUAGGAACCGAGCUGUGUUCGUGACUUUUUUUGACCAAUAGAACUCAGUAGAAGAAAUCCUGUGACAACCCAGGAUUAAUCCUUAAGAGACCUGGCACUUCUGCUUUCAGAGUCUUAAAGUCACAUGAAGAAGUCUGACUACUCUGCUGGAGAGAGAGACCCAGCCAAGCCAGCUACCAAGUCAACUGGAUGCUCUACCCCAGUCAAGCAGCCUCCGCUGACGUGUGUGGAGUAGGGACAAACCUUCUGGCUGAGCCCUGUCUGCUUUGCAGAGUCAUGAGCGGAUGGAUGGCUACCCUUCUGGGGUGUUUGCAGUCAGCUCACUUUGGUCUGAGUUCUGGCUCUGCCGUUUAACUUCCUCUGCUUGCUUGGAGGAAGUGCUCUCUGGCAACAGGCUUUAUGCUAAGUACCUACACAUGUUAUCUCAUGGAGAGGGGACCGUGACUAUCCCCAUCCCAUGAGGGUCAAGUGAUUGCUCAAGUCCACACCUGAUAGGUAGCAGAUUUGGAUCAUCCCCCGGGCUUGGAGUCCAGAGUCCAGAUUCUAAC